GUUAGUUUUCUCAUUCCCCCUCCCUCUGUUGUUCCGUACCCAGCUUCUUCUUUUUUUGUUUUUUGCUUCCGUGUAUGUGGGUGCGUGUGUGUGCAUCGAAGGCACAGGCAAUUCAUUAGGGGGAUCUAUUUUUAUCAGUCGUAGGUUAUGUCAGGCUAUCUCUGUGCUACAUGAAUUGUAAUGAAUUGUUAACUAUGAUAGCUUCUGGCAGGGUUUUGUAUAAACUGAUGCUAUAACUGAACAAACAAUGCAUAAAAUACAGGACAUUGGAGUUGUCCUUGUUAAAUUGAUGCUGAUACACAGUGAGUGUGCUGAAAGUAGAACAUGAUUAGUACCCUUUUAUGCUAAUCUUGUUUCAAAAGAAUGAACCUGUCAUUGUGUGGGCAAAAAACUUACAUACUUCCCGACAUGGUAGGCCUACUCGCCACGAUAAUUCUGCUCAACUGUCUGUCAAAUGUUUAUGGUGCAAUUUAACAGCUUAAAUAUUGUUUGCAAUGUAACAUUUACAUAAUUGGACAAUGGGCAACAAACUACACUAUUUUAUUUUUGUAGCGUAAUUUUGACGUUUUGCUAAAUCAACGUCUUGCUUUGAUGACGUUAUGGUGAUGCCAGGUUGCUGUGACUGAGUCCUUAGGGGUACAAGUCAAGAUCAGGAUUUCGUAUUGGCACAUUAUCUGCCAUUAAGAGUCGUUCUAGUAAUUGAAAUGAUCAAAUGUAUGCCUAUGUAUUGUCAUUUAAUGAGAACAACUCACUUUCAGGUUAUAUACUUUUACAGGAUCCUUGCUGUUCGGUCCUUUUUUUCAACUAUUCGCAACACUAUUGCUAACUAUUGAAAGGAAAAUGUAGGAUAUAGGCUACGGACUUUCAGCUAAAAUGUCCACUGCUUUGUCUUUAUUUCUGCCCUAACUAAAACCUUUUCGGCUCAGCAAGCUACGCUAUUGUAGUCCACUUUAUCAGCGUCGUUUCGAAGAUGGGUGCAGAAGCCAGCCUCCGUGCUCAAUCAGCUGAGUCUUGCGUCAGGGAAAUCUGCUGCUUAGUUGCGUCGUUUUCGACCUGCGUAAGUUUUACAGUCGACUUGCCAAAGCUAAGGGCGAAGACGCGAUUGGGUAGUCAGCAUGUAACACCUGGGCAUUGUUUGUCGAAAGCAAGGGCUGUUUCUCUUAUUUUUAGAAAGCUAAUGUGUUGAAAGAGCUUCGGUGAGCGGACUAAAAUGCAUGCUCGACUUUUUUUGAGAGGGAUGCGAAGGACAUCUGCUCUGUUCUUACAUGAAAGCCAGGAGAAUGGAUUACGUGAGAUAUGGACCACAUACGUCCAAAGGGUCCCUUUUGGAACAUUCUUCUUGAAAAGGCACUGAAAAGAGGUGCAUCUCACUCUGCCUAUACGGUCAACUCUGAAGAAUGUAAGUAGUGGUCACGUUCUGAAUGGCUUCUCUUCUCCAACUCCUCUGUUCUGAAUGUUCACAGGGAGCCUUUGAUGUAUUGAACAAUAAACGUUGACAGGAAAUUGUCAUUUGUGUGUGUUGGUACAUCACAGUGCAUCAAUGGAAGCUGAGAGGAGGACAG
ensembl:lncRNA